UAAAAGUUGUGGCUCAUCGGACAUUUAUGAGAAAAAAUCUCUAAUGUCCGAGUGCAAGUGUAUGCACCACAAGACGCAAGCCAGUUACCCCCUCCCUGGCGCGAGCUGAAAUGUGAUUGGCGGCGAUUUCAUUUUGAACGGGACAGAACAAAUAGAGAAGCAUUCGGUGAAGUAGACGGAAGGAAUGAGGUAAGACUGAUCAACUACGUCUCCUGUGAAAUAAGUGUAGAACAAAGCUAAUGUUUUCCAGUUACAGAAAAGAGAGAAGUUAGAUAUGUCCAUGUGAAUCAUAACGUUAAUGCUGAUAUUGAAACGAUACAAAUCCGGUUGAGUAACGUUAUUAUCAGUAACUCUUUACUUACCGUAAUAAUAAUAAUAAAUGAUAUUUAUAUAGCGCCUUUCAAGGGACCCAAGGUCGCUAUACAGUGUGCGUGGAACGUUAGCUAGGUUUUUGUUUAAAAAAAUGUCAUGCAUGAAAUAUUUUAUAUUAUCAAUCAUUUAGCAAGAUGUACGACCUGAUCAAGGCUAAACGAUUCUGCUCUUCAAUAAUAACUUUGAAUCUUAUUUCAGGAAUCUGUUUGGAUUGCAAGCAAAGAUUUGGCCACAAGCUGGAGUUUGAAGCACACAACAUAUCCAAGUCCAGGUGUGAGGAGCCAGCUCAGCCGACACGGGAGAGUUUCCCCAAGACCCUUCAGGGAGGAGCCAGAAGAAGCUUCAGAACGGACUGGUACAAAACUCAUUCAUGGCUUGAGUACUCACAGUCCAAUGAUUCAGCGUAUUGUUUCCCCUGUAGACAUUUCUCUUUACCUGAUGCCCCCAAGACCGUUUUCACCUCAAUUGACGGGUAUCGUAACUGGAAAAAGGCCACAAUGAAAGACAGUGGUUUCUGUUCUCAUGCCCGAUCUGAAAGCCAUGUAAAUGCAAUAUUUGCACGGGGAGAAAACAAGAAAAUUAGUGACAGAAAUACCUCAAUGAUGGGAAUAAUGGAUGAGUAAAAUAAGAAACAGGUGAUUGAAAAUCAAAACUACAUUAAAACACUAGCUGAGAUUCUGAUUCUAACUGCCACAGAAAACACAGCCCAGCGGGGUCACAGGGAGAAUCCUGACUCAAAAAAAAAAGGUGUUUUUUUAGCUAUGUUAGAUUUGCUGGGAAACCAUGAUCCUAUGACUAAAAAAAGACUUGAAAAGCAAGCUAAAAAUGCAACAUACACCAGUAAAACUAUUCAAAACGAGAUACUGGAAUGUUUGGCUGCAAUGGUUAAGGAAGAAAUAAUUCAAGAGGUUAAAAAGAGCAGGCGGGUG